ensembl:ncRNA C46C2.11 ncRNA
GCUGCUGCUCUUCAUCGCUUCGUUUCGUUCGUUUUCUCGCCGAGACGAGUGAGCAACGAGAGACACGAGAGAGUGUAGACAGUUUCUUUGGGCUCUCUUCACUCUCGUUGCUUAUCGAGACAUUGGAGACGGAGAAGGAUGGCGACGACUGCUGCUGCUUCUGCGGCUUCCCCUACUUCCCUACUUUUCUUUCUGCGACUCUAUAAGCACACCCUAUCACUAAUUGGUCGAAAAUAGUGUAACUUUAGCGGAGACUCACCACCCUAUCGGCUAAAGAGCGUUGAUUCGAGUGGGAGCG